rnacentral:rRNA from 1 species
AAUGAACGUUGGCGGCAUGGAUUAGGCGUGCAAGUCGAGCGAGAAGUGUAGCAAUACACGGAAAGCGGCGGAAGGGAGAGUAAUACGUGGGAAUCUGCCCUUAGACCUGGGAUAGCAGCGGGAAACUGCUGGUAAUACCAGAUAAUGUCUAUGGACCAAAGGUGUGAUUCCGUCUAGGGAUGAGCCCACGUCCUAUUAGCUAGUUGGUAGGGUAAUGGCCUACCAAGGCGAUGAUGGGUAGCGGGUGUGAGAGCAUGACCCGCCUCACUGGGACUGAGACACUGCCCAGACACCUACGGGUGGCCGCAGUCGAGAAUCUUCGGCAAUGGGCGCAAGCCUGACCGAGCGAUGCCGCGUGCGGGAUGAAGGCCUUCGGGUUGUAAACCGCUGUCGAGGGGGAGCAACUUCCAUAGAGUUAUCUUUAUGGAUUGAGUGAUCCCUGGAGGAAGGACGGGCUAAGUUCGUGCCAGCCGCCGCCGUAACAC